UCGAAGAUGGCGACAAUAACGGCAGCUCGAGCCAGGAUGGUCCAUUUGUUGCCCUUGCAGACACACAUAUAUUAGGGAAAAUGCUCGGGUUGCUUGCGGACUUCACGUAGGAGUUCGGUUUUUAGCGUUGGCGGUAGCAGGGGCAAUAGUUGCCUGUGUACAGGCCACAAAAGGACGGAACAGUAUCGCCAAGAAUCCUGAGUGCUUUUCGCUUGGUCGCAGUUGGAUAGCGUCAUCAGGCUUUUUACCUUGAAUAGUGAAUGGUGACCUGGAUUGUAGGGCGUAGUAAGUUCUGGUGUGCCAUGGUGUCGUACAUCUCUGUCGCUGCUACUACGGCAUGCAACUUGGUCUGGUGUGAGCGACAGUUGCCAGGUUAGAAAUGAAAAACGGCACACCUGCUAAGGCCCAUAACUGCUACCUGCAGCGAGCUUUCCAGCCUGUGAAAAACGCGAAGGGCAACCUCCAACGUUAUGCUAGGCCACGUGAACUGUGUCAAAAACACAAAUUUGAAAAAUGUGUUUUUUGUAACGAUAUGAUGGCCUGAAUGGGUGUCAUGCUGAGCACGUUCGAUACGUUUUCCACUUCGACAACUUUCAACGACAACAAGCAGGUGAUUGAAUGGAUUGGAUAUCCUGGACUUGCGCUAUAUGAAAACAAUGAUGGUAGAAUCGUUUGGCCUAACGAUUCGCGUCAGAUUGCUCACUCAUCGAUGCAGAACACGUUUCGUUUUUCAAACGAUGCCAGCAACACUGCCAGCGGCCGCCGAAGUAACCGGUGGAAGAAAAGACGAUGGAGACCUUCUGUGAGCACGCUGUGCAGCUGAUAGCGUACACACGUACCCAAAUAUAGACCCCGAGCAAACACAAUGAGACACUCCCACACGUCCUGCUGCUCCCCUGCUCACCGGUAGGAGGAUUGUCUGUACCCCCUCCCGCACGAUGGGUGCUAUCCACCCAAAAACUCAACUCGCGCCAUACUUACCAAGCUUUCAUUGGUAUCAGGGCCCGCCGUUUGGAAUAGAAAAACGAAGAGAGGGCCCGAGCUCGUUCACGAUCAUGGCAGUCUUGCCGAUCCGACGACGCCAUCCGCCACCGUCGUUUUGCUCUUUUGCUCAGGCUGUGUUGUUCUCUAGGUCCGUUUCGUUCCAUCACGCGCUUGCGGUCCGUUCUUAUACGCAAAGGCGGCUGAUAGUCCGGCAAGGGACCUUUGCGUACCGAAACACAGAAGCGGAGAUAGAUAUGAAAAAGAGGAGGAACAGACAAAGGACAACAGAGAUCAGAGAUCUGAGGUAAUACUAAAAUAUGAAGGACGAGACAAAAGACGUGUAUGGGGCUCGACUUGAGCCUGUCUAUCCGUCCGGUCUCUUCUUAGCGUGCGCUUCUCUAUAUUAUCAUUACACGGCAAAAUAAAGAAAGAGAGAGUGAUCCAGAAAAAUCAAGAAGCAAAGAUACAGAGUCAAGUUGCCUUAGCGUACGGUGACGGCCGAGUAGCCUUCGACUAUCACACAGGCUUGUUCCUCGCAGCGGACCGACGGGCCGGCCCAUCAAGGAGGCGCGUACGUGGUGACUUAGGUUGCCGCCGUUCUUACCACGCAGCUAGCAGUGCAUUAAGAAAACAUUCACUGAUAGGGAAGGGUACCAAGAAGAGUAGCCGCUCUAUAGCCCUGCGACAGUGCGUAAGCCCUUUACACUUCAUCGCUUACAAUAGCUGCGCCGUUUGCCGAGGUUCUCUGAAGAAGUUGGGCCGUUUUAUCUUGUUUGCUUUCCUUCGAGGCUUCGAGACGAUUUCUCUAGCCUUUUGCUCUAGCCUCAUCUUAUGUCCAUCGCCUCAGCAAGCCUAAUAAAGGAUUGCUGCAGCAUAUUUACGUAUAAGCGGGUUCGAAGGUCUACACGGUGGCGAGUACUUGCUUCUUUAUUGUUCAGAGGUCGGGCUAAAAUGGGUGUCCAUGUUGAGUUUUUGGUGAUAGCUAAUGGAGAUAGAUAAAUAAUUUCAACUAAGAACGACAAUAACUAUGCUAACAUUUAUGCCGUAGCGAUUUAUAUAAGCACAUUUUAUGGUGUAGUAAAUCGAAGUUACCUUCGAUUGAUAGGAGGUCGAGGAAAGUUACCAACAUUAAGCAUGUGAACUUUUUCACGUUGAGAAUCGUUCAAUUCCUAAGUGUUGCUAAAAUUGCUUGCCGUACUUGACCGUUUUACAAAACAAUGGGAGAUCGAAUGAUAGGAAAGUUUGGUAAAGUAACGAGAGUUGCCAUUUAACACAAUUAUGUAGCCUAAACAUGAAUACUUUUAUUUUACUUUUGCUUGUUUCCGUAAAAUAUCGACAAUUUGAUGGACGCAAAAAUUGUCUUCAUAACUGAGAUUAUACGCCUUAAUCUUUCCAAUCUUUAAUGAACAUUUCACUGCAUUGAUUCUUGACACACUCCUGCAUCUAGCGUAGUACACCUAUAGGAGCCAGCCAAUUCAUUCUGUGAAACUAGAACGGAACAAGGGAAAAUGGACCAAACCGCUGUGCCCCAAACAUAACACUAGCAUGGGGGUCCUUCGAACCCCACCGUUUUCCUGGUGUUGCCUCUUUAACAUAGAAGGUGAUUUCCGCUGAGCAUCAUUUGUUUCCCAAAAAAUGGCGUACUAGUAGAAUUACUUUGUUAUCGCUCUAAAUUUCGUACCUUUAAUCUCGAUAAACUUGUAGUGCUCGUGCAGGAUUCGUGUGAAUUACCAAAAUACUGCUACUUUUCGUUGCCACUUUGCCUUCGUGUCUCAUAGGUUAGUACAACGGUGUAGGUCAGUAAAGACUUAGUGUAGCUUUUGUGAUUCAGAAGUGAACAGACCACAUCCGCCACGUAAAUCCGGCCCGGUAACCGUUUGGCACUUUUUUUCAUGAAAUACAGGAGAUGUGGAUGUUACGUUAAAUAGACAAUCAAUUGUGUUUAAUUAAUCAUUAAAGAACGUCAUCACAAUCGCGUGCAGGGCGUCUCUUACAGAAAUGGAAAAUCUAGUUAUAUUUGUCCAUAUACCUACAGCCAAAAAGAUAAUUUGCUGCAAAGCUUCCUAUAGCGAAAGCCGAACCUUUGCAGUCUUGCAUGGAGGAUAUAGCUAGGCCAAGGGCAUUACAGCUUAAAACUCAUUUUCUCUUCGUUCACUUUCUCGUGUCUGCUUUCUUCCUCCUAUAAUACUGACGUAUGCAUCGUAUGACUACCGUGAGAUGUUUUUGAGAUUGCUUUCGACAACCAGUGCGUGAGGCUUCUGCUGUUAGAAACGCGGUCCUUUCCCAGUCUUUACAUAUAUGUCCACGUGUAUCUAAUUUGUAUUACCAUUACCCGGCAUCAGCUCUGCUUGACGUCCUGUCUGUACUACGUCGGUCUGGAGGUCAGAAUCCCCUGCUAUACCUCGAUCCCUUUCGCCUGGCGUCUGUCGAUAAGUCGGACGGGUAAGUGGAGCUACGAGUGAAACAGAGCUCUUCUUUUUCAGUCGCCCACUGACGGCCGUUGUGCGAGCCGAGGACCGACCAGUAGCGAAGCGAAAUUUCCCGUUUUACGCUUCGCCGCCUUGAUUGCGUCUCAGCUUUCCUCUCUUCUCUUAUCUUUAUUCGUCGCUUUCUUUUUCUGUCUCUGUCUACGCGUCUUUUUCGCAGCUCAGACGAACUGGCGGCGUGUGUUGCAAGAGGCGGGGGGCUGACUUGAAGCUGAGCCCAGCGACGAGUGGUGUUACCGUAGCCGAUGACUAGGAGCGCGACACCCGCAUCAUCGGACCUGCGAUCUGUACGCGGGCCGUCCAUGGAGAAUCAGGACAAUCAGGAGACAGCUUCUCCACUUCAUGGUUUCUUUCCUACUUUGCUUGGCUGCUUUCUUCUGGCAGGAGCAGCAUUAAGGACAAUGGACAAUGAAUGAAUAGAUUAUGAACAACCUUCGCUUCUCUCCGGCCUGGCGCGUCUCGGCAUGUCUGACUGGCGCUUUCUCUCUCCUAUGCGUCGGAAUCUCGUCUCUAGUCAAUUCCUCUUAUUCCGUCGUAGUGUCCAGCUUUCGCAGCCACCAAACCGGCCAAGCAACCGACACCUGCGUCGCUUUGUCCUCAUGACGUCAUUAGUAUAGCUUGGCAGACACAGGCUUUAGUUUAGCGCUACGCCUAUUGCAGAACCAGGAGACAUCUGCACACGCGGACAUAUAAACGGUAGCGGAUCAACGGGUACCAGCGGCAAUGAAAGGGGAAAAGCGUUCAUCUUCGCCAAUGCGCACUGAAGUCAUCCGCUGGUGAUAGGCGACACGGUGAUAAGGAAAUAGAGAAGGAGCAGACGUCAGGCAAAAAUAGGUCGCGAGAAAAGAGGAAAAAAACGUUGAAACUAAGCAAAAAGCAAAGACAUAAGGCUGGCGAGCGGCAGGCCAGCAGUGCUGGUGUUGGGACAGAGGCAGGUACAUCGACUUUCGGCAUCAUUGCCGCUGGCAUUAGAGAAAUCAAGACAUUCUCCAGUUUUGGGUUUCUAAGGAACGACAAUAACCAGCCCAACGAAAAGACAGGAAGAAAGCUCAAGCCGAGAACAAACGCGAGCGUCUAUCCGUAAGCGCUUUGAGUGUACUGGUUGUAUGUAUGGCGAGACUGAGGAUGUCGGCCUAUGUUCCUCGAGCAGAGCCGUGAAGGCGAAAAGCAAAACGGAGGAUGAAAAAGAAGGAAUGAACGCUAGUAAGAGAACGGAAAAUUUGCUCGGGCGGUCUUCGGCGCAGGGACAGGCAAACCUGCACACACAAUCAUAUAUACACAGACAGUUUUAUGGGCACGAUAUGUACGCAGCUGCUUUGCCGGCAAAGAUGACGACAGCGAUGAAGCCAAGGAAGAGUUAGGCACGGAGUAGGUAUGGACGAAAGAUUCGUGGUUGAACACUUACGUGCAGUAUGAUGGUGUGAAAUUAGCAUAUGAAGAUGACUAGACAAAACUAAUUCAGCGAUGUAUGACAGGCAGCUAUUUAGCGCUGAUAUCUCCGGAAGUAUACAGCAUGUAGAGCAGUAAAUGAGGAACAGGUAUUUAUGGGAAUAUUUAACGAUCGGAAUAUGCUAAUUGUUCUACAGGGUACGUUACCCUUCGGCUAUUACAAAACUAUUUUCCCAUGUGGCGCUGAAUCAGUAUUCUUAAGAGGUAAAUUAAUGCAACUAUUUUUUGUUAAAUUCAGUGUGGUACUUUAUCCAGAAAUAUUAUUCAUAGCCAUACGCUAGCCACAAAAAGCCGUCCAGUUUCUUGGCUUUUCUCAUUUUUGCAACUAUCUCCUAAUUCUAGUCAUAUUUAAAUUUAACUCGAAAAACUAGGACGACCAUAGUAGAAUAAAAAGAAUGAGUCCAGCGUCUAUUUAACUAGUAAGGUAUGUUGUGCAUGAACAAAGGAAAUAAACCCAGCUUCACAUACGAAACGCUAUAAUUGUGUAUACGUGUUAGAAUGUCGCCACGCUACAGCCUGGAAUACAAUGUCAGAGGAAGUCUGAUUUAUUGUUACCUUUGAAGAUAUGUGAUGAUGUGCUUAGUGGCUGCUUCACACACUAUAACUGUGUGUGGCCUCCUCACACCAUAUUAUAGUAGGAUAUACAAUAGCUUAACAGAUGUAGUGCAACACAUUAGCUUCUCUAUAUAUUUUUAGGGUAUAUGUAAGUAGUUUUUAAUUGGGUACUUCCUUUUCGAAAAAAAUAUAGAAAAACAGAACUUAUUGGAACUGAUAGACAGGGCAGAAAAUUUAGGGAGCACUCUUUCCUUCGCAGUUACUUUUAAUCACGGCUAGCCUACACGUCUUUGAAACAUGCGAUGGUUUUGCAACAUGUAUAAAUGCAUUACGCCACAGGUCUCAUUUCAUAAUUAUAAUAAAUAAGAUUUGCCAAGUAAUUGAUUAAACUGGUCUAACUUAUCUUACUUUUCUUCCAUGUACGCAUAAACUCUUAAAAAUUCUUAGCUUAUAUAACUUCUCUAUGCGCAGUAGCUUUGUAGAUGAUGGAGAAAAGAGAAGAAGGAAGCUGUGUGGAUUAACAAUCUAACAAUGUUACUAUUGUUGAUAGCGGUAUAAGACGCGUCCCAUUUUAUUCAAGCAUUUUUUUUACCAGGAGUACUACGGUUUGGGAUCACUCCUUUCGUUACCUCGACUGAACCCUAAUAGCCCCAUACGGACGAAAAACUGCUGCUGCAGUCUAGGCCAAUGGCUCUCUACGUCUUAGUUGAACUUGGCAUAGGCUCAACUUGACUGAUAAAUAAUCUUGACUUGAUACGAAAUGUCACGAACGAUCACAAUGGAGAAGUCGGACAGCAAAGCUACCCCUAUUUUAGAAGAACAUACCAGAAUACAGAAAUGUGUUGGUCUGUUUCAUUUUCUCAAUAGCGAAUCAAAAUUACUAAAGUAUUACUUUAAGGCUAAUAAAAGUUUGUCUUACUAGUCGGAAUUGAUUAUCGGCAAAAAUAGACAUCGCACAAAAAUAUACUUUUCACACUCCUACUUUAUACAUUAAGAAGCGCCUUUCUAACUAGGCUUUUUCAUGUGGCCCUUUUGUAACGAAAAUAGAUAAAGCCAACGUAAUCAACUCCUCUACUAUUCUUGUGGGUAACGUCAACAUAAAACUAACUUUACAGUUUCUUCCUUUUUAUGUUUGACUUCGUUGGCGUUGGCGAAGCCUUUGACUGAACGAGAGCUAGAAUGAGCUGUUUUGGCGGAGGAUCCAUUUUCAAGAAAGCACCACAUAAUUAGACACUGACGCUGACGCGUACCACAAAAAGACGGUCCUACUGUGUUGAUCGACCUAUGAUUAUUUCGAUUGAUCAUUUUAUCGAGUUUACACCUAGUGAAACCAGCUAGAAAUAUUUUUUUACCAGUCAUCAUAUAUUCCAUCAAUUAUCUUUGUACUAGAAUGAACUACCAAAAUGCUAACUGAACAGUAAAUCAGAGCUGAUUAGGCCGACUUUCGAUCGAUUUUACCGGAGCCGACAAGUGAGCCAAAAAGAUCAUGUCGAAUCACUUCGUCAUGCCGGCAGCUGGAAAUCACGCCUAUUGACGACUAGAAGACACUGACACCAGGGAAUAUUCAGUCGCUCAAAGAUUACUCAAUUCACAGCUACGCUUGCUUAAACAGAUAUCUCUGUAAAAUGGAUCCAUUUUCUCUUAAUACUUGUCAAAUAAUUUACGGCGCCCAGAGGUUCUUCUUCGAUAAACCACUUCCUAAAUACAUUCUAAUCAUAUUUUAGUAUGCAUACUGUUGUGGUAUAGUCAUUGCAGACUGAGCGGAACCUAAGCAGCACUUCAGAUCUUUAUCAAUAAUUUGAAUAAUCGCCAAUAAGUUUCAAUUAUAAAUAUCUGCAUGGUUCCAAAUAUCGAUCGAUCGUGUGCGAGAGGCCGACGACAUCUUCUUUUAUUUAUUAACUAUCAAACAAUGGAAAACGAGCUGUCAGUGCGGGCAGCCGAAGAAUGACAUUACUGAUAACCAUUUCCUAAUUUUUCGCACGAAUUCUGUUGAUCGAUUUCGUUCUAGUAAACCUCUCAGGGCUGAUCUACUAACCCUGGAACGGUUUCCCGUAAACGGAUAGCAAAUUAGAACGUCAAAAUUUGCUAUCUUCAAGACCUCACAUACUGUGUUCCAGUCCACCGCCACUGGUGCCACAGUAGCUCAAGCUUGAACUAGUGAUUUUUAACUAAUUAACCAACGAUUUUUACUAUUACUGGGCCGGUAAGUGACCCUUUACACAAACGAAACAAUUGAACCGGCUAAGAGAUCACAUCCUCAAGGAUAUAAGUUUGUCAGCCACCAGAGACUUUCCCAGAGUAGUGACGACCAGGUUUAGCAAAGUACGAGCAUCUAUUCGGUUUCGCCCACGCACGUUCCCUGCUUAAUUGCAGCAACUGCGCGCGGUAUCACUGGAUUAUCGUGAAGCCUCUCCUAACACUUACAGACAGAUAUAAUCAUGCACGCGCUUCUGCCCAAAAUUUACCUGUGUGUAUGUGCGUGCGCAAGAUCAGGUGUCUGGCAAUCAAUCAAGCUCAUUUAUUCAC